UAUAAUGGGUCAGCGACUUAUAUUCUGUAGCAAGGUUAACCGUAUAGGGGAGCCGCAGGGAAACCGAGUCUUAACUGGGCGUUAAGUUGCAGGGUAUAGACCCGAAACCCGGUGAUCUAGCCAUGGGCAGGUUGAAGGUUGGGUAACACUAACUGGAGGACCGAACCGACUAAUGUUGAAAAAUUAGCGGAUGACUUGUGGCUGGGGGUGAAAGGCCAAUCAAACCGGGAGAUAGCUGGUUCUCCCCGAAAGCUAUUUAGGUAGCGCCUCGUGAACUCAUCUUCGGGGGUAGAGCACUGUUUCGGCUAGGGGGUCAUCCCGACUUACCAACCCGAUGCAAACUACGAAUACCGAAGAAUGUUAUCACGGGAGACACACGGCGGGUGCUAACGUCCGUCGUGAAGAGGGAAACAACCCAGACCGCCAGCUAAGGUCCCAAAGUCAUGGUUAAGUGGGAAACGAUGUGGGAAGGCACAGACAGCCAGGAUGUUGGCUUAGAAGCAGCCAUCAUUUAAAGAAAGCGUAAUAGCUCACUGGUCGAGUCGGCCUGCGCGGAAGAUGUAACGGGGCUAAACCAUGCACCGAAGCUGCGGCAGCGACACUAUGUGUUGUUGGGUAGGGGAGCGUUCUGUAAGCCUGCGAAGGUGACCUGUGAGGGUUGCUGGAGGUAUCAGAAGUGCGAAUGCUGACAUAAGUAACGAUAAAGCGGGUGAAAAGCCCGCUCGCCGGAAGACCAAGGGUUCCUGUCCAACGUUAAUCGGGGCAGGGUGAGUCGACCCCUAAGGCGAGGCCGAAAGGCGUAGUCGAUGGGAAACAGGUUAAUAUUCCUGUACUUGGUGUUACUGCGAAGGGGGGACGGAGAAGGCUAUGUUAGCCGGGCGACGGUUGUCCCGGUUUAAGCAUGUAGGCUGGUUAUCCAGGCAAAUCCGGAUAAUCAAGGCUGAGGUGUGAUGACGAGGCACUACGGUGCUGAAGUAACAAAUGCCCUGCUUCCAGGAAAAGCCUCUAAGCAUCAGGUAACAUCAAAUCGUACCCCAAACCGACACAGGUGGUCAGGUAGAGAAUACCAAGGCGCUUGAGAGAACUCGGGUGAAGGAACUAGGCAAAAUGGUGCCGUAACUUCGGGAGAAGGCACGCUGGUGUGUAGGUGAAGUCCCUGCGGAUGGAGCUGAGACCAGUCGAAGAUACCAGCUGGCUGCAACUGUUUAUUAAAAACACAGCACUGUGCAAACACGAAAGUGGACGUAUACGGUGUGACGCCUGCCCGGUGCCGGAAGGUUAAUUGAUGGGGUUAUCCGUAAGGAGAAGCUCUUGAUCGAAGCCCCGGUAAACGGCGGCCGUAACUAUAACGGUCCUAAGGUAGCGAAAUUCCUUGUCGGGUAAGUUCCGACCUGCACGAAUGGCGUAAUGAUGGCCAGGCUGUCUCCACCCGAGACUCAGUGAAAUUGAACUCGCUGUGAAGAUGCAGUGUACCCGCGGCAAGACGGAAAGACCCCGUGAACCUUUACUAUAGCUUGACACUGAACAUUGAGCCUUGAUGUGUAGGAUAGGUGGGAGGCUUUGAAGCGUGGACGCCAGUCUGCGUGGAGCCAACCUUGAAAUACCACCCUU
rnacentral:rRNA from 1 species